UACAUGGGGUGCAAACGUUGCUCGGAAUCAUUGGGCGUAAAGCGCGCGUAGGCGGUUACUUAAGUUGGAUGUGAAAGCCCUCGGCUUAACUGAGGAAGUGCAUCCAAAACUGAGUAGCUAGAGUACGAAAGAGGGUCGCGGAAUUCCCGGUGUAGAGGUGAAAUUCGUAGAUAUCGGGAGGAACACCGGUGGCGAAGGCGGCGACCUGGGUAGAUACUGACGCUGAGGUGCGAAAGCGUGGGGAGCAAACAGG
rnacentral:rRNA from 1 species